rnacentral:tmRNA from 1 species
GGGGGCGAAUGGACUCGACGGGGGUGACGAAGUACAGGUGGCAUGCCGUGGCGCCGUCACCACGUAAAAAGGCGGCAAAACAAUAAGUGCCAACUCUGAACUCGCACUCGCUGCUUAAUAACUAAGCAGCCGUUGGGGAGGUGACGCCUGCUAACCUCUUCCAACGACGGCCAGCAGGCUUGCCCCUGAGCCUGGUCCCCGGGGCAAGGGGGACAUCUUACGGGGAUAGGGCCCUGAGAAGCCUGCCUGUCGGCGUCUCUUGGCCCGAAUGCAGUAGACAGGCUAAGCAUGUAGAAGCCUGUACGUAGCACUUCCGGACGCGGGUUCGAUUCCCGCCGCCUCCACCA